UAAUGUUGGUGUAAACAUGAAGGACAGCAGGUGCUCUUAUAAAAUUACACGUUCAGACAUUUUCCUGUGAAGUGAAGCAGGUUGGUCCUACGUCCAUCAGUUACCAAAUACUGUUUCACCAGUUCAACAUGAUGUUUUCAGACGAGUUUUAUCCACAGUGAGCAUGCUCAGAGGUUUUUCUGUUAUCAGGGGAGAGGAUGACGGAGGGAGAAGUGGACCAGCUGUUGGCAGGACAGGAAGAUGCUAAUGGAUGUAUAAACUAUGAAGCUUUUGUGAAGCACAUCAUGGCUGGCUGAAACAACAGGUUGGGUCCUUUGUUCAGAGAGAAGUGCCUGCAGGUUUCUGCUCUGAUGUUACAAAUCCUCAUGUUCAAUAAAAAUGUACAAAUUCCUGCUGAACUUCCAGUGUUUCAACUGUCGCUGUAACGGUUAAGAGUAAGAGUUACUUGGUUCAGGGUUCAGGGUUCAAGG